AUUGAACGCUAGCGGCAUGCCUUACACAUGCAAGUCGAACGGAGUGGCGAACGGGUGAGUAAUGUAUAGGAACGUGCCCAGUAGUGGGGGAUAACUACGCGAAAGAGUAGCUAAUACCGCAUACUAUUAGAGCGGCCGAGAUCGGAUUAGCUAGUUGGUGGGGGAACGGCUUACCAAGGCGACGAUCCGUAGCUGGUUUGAGAGGACGACCAGCCACACUGGAACGUAGCAACGGCCCAGACUCCUACGGUAGGCAGCAGUGGGGAAUUUUGGACAAUGGGGGAAACCCUGAUCCAGCCAGCCCGCGUGUGCGAUGAGGGCCUUCGGGUUGUAAAGCACUUUAAGCAGGAAAGCGGUACCUGCAGAAUAAGCACCGGCUAACUACGUGCCAGCAGCCGCGGUAAUUC
rnacentral:rRNA from 1 species